rnacentral:siRNA from 1 species
UUGGUAGGAUGCCGCUAUUUU